UGAAUGUUUUAGUGAGGUCUUUGGACCGGCGCGCGGAGCUCCUUCGGGAAUUUCGAUGCCGCUGGGAAGAUGACCAAACUUGAAUAUUUAGAGGAAGUAAAAGUCGUAACAAGGUUGCUGUAGGUGAACCUGCAGCAGGAUCAUUA
rnacentral:rRNA from 1 species